rnacentral:rRNA from 1 species
UKGGUUGAUCCUGCCAGAGGCUACUGCUAUCGGGGUCCGACUAAGCCCAUGCGAGUUGAGAGGGGGUAAGCCCYUCAGCAUAUUGCUCAGUAACACGCGGAUAACCUGCCCUUGGAUCUGGGAUAACCCCGGGAAAACUGGGACUAAUACCGGAUAGAUCAAAAGAUACUGGAAUGUUCUCUGGUCUAAAGCUCCGGCGUCCAAGGAUGGGUCUGCGGCCUAUCAGGUAGUAGUGGGUGUAACGUACCUACUAGCCUACGACGGGUAAGGGUUGUGAGAGCAAGAGCCCUGAGAUGGAUUCUGAGACAUGAAUCCAGGCCCUACGGGGUGCAGCAGGCGCGAAAACUUUACAAUGCGGGAAACCGCGAUAAGGGGACCCCGAGUGCCAGCACCUAGUGCUGGCUGUCCAUCUGUCCAAAUAACAGUUGUUAGCAAGGGCCGGGCAAGACCGGUGCCAGCCGCCGCGGUAACACCGGCGGCCCGAGUGGUAGCCGUUAUUAUUGGGUUUAAAGGGUCCGUAGCCGGCCUAUUAAGUCUCUUGGGAAAUCUGGCGGCUCAAUCGUCAGUCGUCCAAGAGAUACUGGUAUGCUUGGGACCGGGAGAGGUGGGAGGUACUCCAGGGGUAGGGGUGAAAUCUCGUAAUCCUUGGGGGACCACCGAUGGCGAAGGCAUCCCACCAGAACGGGUCCGACGGUGAGGGACGAAAGCUGGGGGCACGAACCGGAUUAGAUACCCGGGUAGUCCCAGCCGUAAACGAUGCUCGCUAGGUGUCAGGUGCGGUGCGACCGCAUCUGGUGCCGCAGUGAAAACUUGAAGCGAGUCACCUGGGAAGUACGGUCGCAAGGCUGAAACUUAAAGGAAUUGGCGGGGGAGCAC